ACCAUUGGCUAACUUCUUCUUCUUCCCUUUUCUUUUCAAUUUUCAGUAAGCCCACAAGAAAUAACCGAAGCCAUGACAAAAUAAUCCCCACCACCUCUUUUCUUUUUUCUUUCUAUGUGCCGACGACCAUCGUCUAGCCAUCACAGCCACCAUUGAUAAUUCAAGGCAUAUACUUGCAAAGAUCAGUACUCCGUGCUCGCUGAGUUUGGAGAUCGGGGACUAAACCUUAAACACAUAAAUUGUUUAAGAUCCAAAUCCUAAAUCACAAGUCAUGUUCAAGAAAGGACAGUAAGAAUCUUGGGUGGCUAGAUUCUUAGCUGAAUAGAGAUUUUCAGCAUGUUGGAUGAAGGAAAAGAAAAGAUGGACCUUUACACACACACCAUCGACAACAACCACCAGUUCUUUCUCUCUACGUCUAAAAGACCCAGUCUGUUGAUAGAAGGAGGCUUGGUACUUCUUCAAGGCCAAACCCUUGAAUGCCCACUGAAAUGUCAGCUGCAACAAAUAUGUUGAUUACUUCAAAGAGUUCAUCGAUUUCUUUUCUAGAAGUUCUCUUGUCGGAGAUUCUCUUGUUCUAGAAAUUGGUGAAAGAAAAACUUUAGCAAACAAAGAUAACAUUUGCUGGGUAAUUACUAAUUUGGACACUGGAGUAGCAAUCAAUUAAUAUUACUGCCCCUGUUACAAUUAAGAUGUUUCCAAACAUGUUGAUAAUGAUUUGAAAUUUAGAUUAUAAUUUAUGAUUUUAUGAUUUAUGGAUAUGGAUAUGGUUUGUUCUUUAAACUUAAA